rnacentral:lncRNA from 1 species
CUGCAAUCAAGCUCUCCUAAUAAACGUGUGCAGAAGGAUCCUGUUGCAGAAGGAUCCUGUUGCAGCGUCGUUACUGCUGGCCAGUCCGGCGCACGCAAGACCUACAGCUUAUCACAACGACCCACGCGACUCCAAACCAUCAGAAUAACUGUGACGAUAAUUAUUGCACCACUACUGACCACAACCAACCUCCCUGGAUGACCAACAACCAUCCAGACCUCUCGAAGGCCCCUAACAUCUAUAUACCCUCUGAAAGUGCCGAGAAUUCCAAAUGUCACACAGUUACUGGAACCAUCUGCAGCUGGAAAUCACGCCCCUGCUGGAGCAUGAGGCAAGUCAUAGUCAGCUUCUAUGAAGAAUCUGAAGCAGCCCGAUAUCCCACACCUGGGAUCAAAACAAAACCGUAUUCUUAUACUUCUCUGUGUGUGGGUUUUUUCUUAAGAAACCAAAAUUCCAAAAUUGUCACUAUAGCCCUCAGAAGGAACCUACUUUGUAGACACUGUGAUGUUGCAAUUUUGUAUCCAGGACCUUGAGCAAAUAACUAUCUCUGAUUCAAACCAGUAGAUACUUUGUUGGCCCCAGAAAACUCACAAAAACUAAAGAGAGUAAAGUCAGAAACUUUGAAAUUGGAUGCCUAGCUUGCACAGAAAUGCCAGGGUUUAUAGCUCAUCACUCACAACUUUGUAUUUUUUGUCAGCCCCCCCCACCCCCAGGAGAACUAAGUUUGCUAUUUCAUGUUUGAUACUUUCUUGUCUCUGCCAUGGAAACAAUAGUAAUAAUAAUUUUUAAAACUCACUUUAUUGGAUUUACUGUGUGUCUUAGUUAGGGUCUGCAUUGCUGUGAAAAGACACCACAAACAAGGCAACUCUUAUAAGGACAACAUUUAAUUGGGGCUGGCUUACAGGUUCAGAGGUUCAGUCCAUUAUCAUCAAGGUGGGAGUAUGGCAGCGUCCAGGCAGGUAUGGUGCUGGAGAAGCUGAGAGCUCUCUACAUUUUGUUCCAAAGGCAAACAGGAGCAGACUGACUCUUCUACACUGGGAGGAGCGUCAAACCCAUGCCCCCACACUGACACACUUCCCCCAACAAGGCCACACCUCCUAACAGUACCACUUCCUAUGGGCCAAGCAUAUUCAAACCACCACACUGUUGUCAGGAAGCUUAGCUUGAGAAGGUGGUUUCUGGAGUCAUUAUUAUUUUUAAGAGCAGCCUAGCUCGUUUGGAAAACCACUCUGUCUGUCAACAUUUUAGUCAGAGGUGACCUCAUGAUGUGUACCUGGAAAAACCAAUUUAUUCACUUCAUCAAAAAAUUCAAGCUCUGAAAAUUGAGAAAGAAUAAAAUCUUAAUUAGCUUGUGUUAUAUGAUUUUUUUUCAAUUAAAGAAAAACAAAGGGAUUUAAUUAGAUUAAAAAUGCUAAGGAAAUAGGUUGUAUUGCUAGUUAUGAAAAGACUCAACUUUUGAAUAAGGUCAUUGUUAGUUUGUAGAGACGUUAGAGAUGUUUUUGUUUUCAAAUAAAAAAUGUGCUGGGCUUCUUAAUUCAUGACCUUUAUGCUUAAUUUGCUUACUGGAGCAUCAUUGACAGCAUAGUCCAGUGCAGUUUUAAAACUAGCUUAAUGAUUGAUUCUGCCUCUAUAAAAAUGUCUGCUGUUCCUUUAUUCUCCUUUUUAAAAUAGGUAGAUAUUCUAGAGAUGCUUUCUGGCAGGUUUAGACCUGCAGUGUUGUUCAAUCCCUGGCUUAGAAUUAGCUUAGCUGCUCCAAUCACUGAUUCUAAAUGUGUGCUUAAAUUGGUUUUCAUUUAGAUUUCUUUGCUUUGUUUCAUGUGUAUGCGCGUCUCGCCUGCAUGAAGGCCUGGUACCCUUUGAGGUCAGAAGAGGGCAUUAGAUUUCCUGGAGUUGGAGUUAUGGUUGCUUGUGAGCCACAACUGCAGUUAAAUAAUGUGUAAAAACAAACAUUUAAUCAGAUUUUUAAUUAUCAUUUUAACCAAGCUUUCUUCUUUCCCCUGUUUUUCUCUUCCCUUCCCUCCCACCUUCUUCCCCCGUUUCUUUCCCCCUCCCUCCUCCCCUCCCUCCCUCUUCCCCUCCCUCUCUCCCUCCCUCUCUCCCUCCUCUUCGACAAGGACUUAUGUAGUUGAAACUGAUCUUGUAACCAAGAAUAGCUUUACUUCAAAUUCUUGAUUCCCCCCUUACCUUCCAUCUCUACCUCCCAAGUGCUGGCAUUACAGGUACCUGACACCAUGGCCUGCUCCUAAGCAUUUUCUCACUUGAAGGGCUUUGAACACACAUGAAGGGCUUUGAACACACAUGAAGGACUGUGAACACACAUGAAGGAAAGGCUAUGAACAUAUCAGUUUCUCCCUUCAGGCUCCUGAUUUGAGUUCCUGCACUGAAUUCUCUCAGGAAUGAUAGACAGUUACCUGAAACCGUGAGCUGAAAUAAACCCGUUCUUCCACCAACUUGCUUUUGGUCACAGUCUUUAUCACAGCAUAAAAACCCAACUAAGAUAGAUGACAAGCCAACGUCAAG